CAGGCUGGUAGCUAUCAAACAUCAAAAACGUACCGCUGUCGCCAAUAGAAACAUGAUCUAAGCAUGCCGUACGCACAGGACAGUCCAUUUUUUGAAGUGGAAUAUGAAACCAGCGCUGAAUCUUGACCACAACUUCAUUACCACUUGCAAGCAAAUCAUAUGUUUCAUCUCUAUAGUAGCAGAAACUAAGCACGAUGUCUUCAAGAUUUAAACCCAUGAAUGAGACAAUUGUGAAGUAAUUCUCAUAACGAUAACCCAACAUCCACAACUCAGUUAAGCUAACCUCGUUACGCUUAAUUUGAGUUACUCAACUCUAAGACACAGAUUGAUCCCGACCAACUUCUCAUCUAGGGAGAAUCAUCACGUAGGAUUCUCUUUCCCAAUUUCUUUUCACUCUUGGCUUUCUCUCAGCAGUGCAUGCACAACCAGACCAGCGUUGAUUAACCACCGAUCUAGUGUUUCAGUAGAGCAUAGAAACUUCACAUCCUUGUUUCUUUUUGAAUCACAGCAAACCAUCCUUUGAAACAUGCAUAUCAAUUAUCUCCACCUAAAAACAGAAAUCUGCUUGUUUCUUCAUCUUUCUGCAAACAACUUUUCUUUUCAUCAAACAAGCCUCUUUUCUAACACAAAAGAGCACAGAGUAUGCAGAAGCAUCAAACUCAGACAAUGAAGCCAUGUUAUCACUUUGAUGAUGAAAGCCCAACUCCGUCAGCCACGUGAUUCUUUUUAACCAAAUGAAGGCUUCAUAUAUUUUGUGAUCUGUCACUUAUAAUGGAAAGAUUCUCUUUCUUGACACUUCAUAAACUUCAUUCCAAAAAUCUUCAACUUGAAAGAAAAAAAAAAAUUUGCAAGACACAGCUUUAGAGGUCUCCAAAUCAACUACUCUGAACCGCCAUCAUUCUACUCUGUUCUCGGACUCCGAAUCCAAUGCCCUCCUACCAGAAUCUAGCUCCGUAAGUCUAGAAUGUCUCUGCACAAUUUCAUUUUAUUUCGAGUUUAAUUGGUCGCCCAUUUGAUGUCUCCACUAUAACUGGUCAGAUCUGAAACUUCAGCUGACAUGUGCCCGGAACAGAUUGAACACGCUCGAAUAAAACGCAAUCCAACUGUCAAAAAAUUAAUCUCACCGUUGACACUUUAGACA
rnacentral:lncRNA from 1 species